GACGAACGCUGGCGGCGUGCCUAAUACAUGCAAGUAGAACGCUGAAGAGAGGAGCUUGCUCUUCUUGGAAGAGUUGCGAACGGGUGAGUAACGCGUAGGUAACCUGCCUUGUAGCGGGGGAUAACUAUUGGAAACGAUAGCUAAUACCGCAUAACAAUGGGUGACCCAUGUCAUUCAUUUAAAAGGGGCAACUGCUCCACUACAAGAUGGACCUGCGUUGUAUUAGCUAGUAGGUGAGGUAACGGCUCACCUAGGCGACGAUACAUAGCCGACCUGAGAGGGUGAUCGGCCACACUGGGACUGAGACACGGCCCAGACUCCUACGGGAGGCAGCAGUAGGGAAUCUUCGGCAAUGGGGGCAACCCUGACCGAGCAACGCCGCGUGAGUGAAGAAGGUUUUCGGAUCGUAAAGCUCUGUUGUAAGUCAAGAACGAGUGUGAGAGUGGAAAGUUCACACUGUGACGGUAGCUUACCAGAAAGGGACGGCUAACUACGUGCCAGCAGCCGCGGUAAUACGUAGGUCCCGAGCGUUGUCCGGAUUUAUUGGGCGUAAAGCGAGCGCAGGCGGUUUGAUAAGUCUGAAGUUAAAGGCUGUGGCUCAACCAUAGUUUGCUUUGGAAACUGUCAAACUUGAGUGCAGAAGGGGAGAGUGGAAUUCCAUGUGUAGCGGUGAAAUGCGUAGAUAUAUGGAGGAAUACCGGUGGCGAAAGCGGCUCUCUGGUCUGUAACUGACGCUGAGGCUCGAAAGCGUGGGGAGCGAACAGG
rnacentral:rRNA from 1 species